UACGUAGGGUGCAAGCGUUGUCCGGAAUUAUUGGGCGUAAAGAGCUCGUAGGCGGUCUGUCGCGUCGGAUGUGAAAAUCCAGGGCUCAACCCUGGACCUGCAUUCGAUACGGGCAGACUAGAGUUCGGUAGGGGGAGUCUGGAAUUCCUGGUGUAGCGGUGAAAUGCGUAGAGAUCGGGAGGAACACCAGUGGUGAAGGCGGCUACCUGGACCAGCACUGACACUGAAGCACGAAAGCGUGGGGAGCAAACAGG
rnacentral:rRNA from 1 species